GCUGUGAUGGAACAAUUGACUUUGAUCAAAUGAGCUGAAACAACUUGUUUGUCCUCUAAGAAGUUCUGAGCUU
rnacentral:snoRNA from 1 species